CGCGCAGGCGGCUCGUUAAGUCCAAGGUGAAAUCCCACGGCUCAACUGUGGGGGACCCUGGAUACUGGCGGGCUGGAGUGCGGGAGAGGGAAGCGGAAUUCCACGUGUAACGGUGAAAUGUAUAGAUAUGUGGAGGAACACCGGUGGCGAAGGCGGCUUCCUGGACCGUAACUGACGCUGAGGCGCGAAAGCUGGGGGAGCGAACA
rnacentral:rRNA from 1 species